ACCGCCCGCAGGGGGAGCCGCAUGGCUGAGAGUUUCGAUUGAGAUAUCGAAAGACCCCUUGAACCUGAUCCGGUUAGUACCGGUGUAGGGAUUGUGGAAGCCGGCCUCC
rnacentral:ncRNA from 1 species